rnacentral:tRNA from 1 species
GGAGGUGUAGCCAAGUGGUAAGGCAGCGGAUUGCAAAUCCGCGAUUCCCCCAGUUCAAAUCUGGGUACCUCCU